UAGAGUUUGAUCCUGGCUCAGGAUGAACGCUAGCGACAGGCUUAACACAUGCAAGUCGAGGGGCAGCGGGGUAGGAAGCUUGCUUUCUGCCGCCGGCGACCGGCGCACGGGUGAGUAACACGUAUGCAACCUGGCCGUGACAGAUGGAUAACCGGGAGAAAUCCCGCCUAAUACAACAUAAUGCCGGGAGGGGACAUCCCCUGCCGGCCAAAGGGGGCGACCCCGGUCAUGGAUGGGCAUGCGGCGCAUUAGGUAGUUGGUGGGGCAACGGCCCACCAAGCCGACGAUGCGUAGGGGUUCUGAGAGGAAGGUCCCCCACAUUGGAACUGAGACACGGUCCAAACUCCUACGGGAGGCAGCAGUGAGGAAUAUUGGUCAAUGGCCGGAAGGCUGAACCAGCCAAGUCGCGUGAGGGAAUAAGGCCCUACGGGUCGUAAACCUCUUUUGCCAGGGAGCAAUGCCGUCCACGUGUGGACGGAAGGAGAGUACCUGGAGAAAAAGCAUCGGCUAACUCCGUGCCAGCAGCCGCGGUAAUACGGAGGAUGCGAGCGUUAUCCGGAUUUAUUGGGUUUAAAGGGUGCGUAGGCGGCCUGCCAAGUCAGCGGUAAAAUUGCGGGGCUCAACCCCGUACAGCCGUUGAAACUGCCGGGCUCGAGUGGGCGAGAAGUAUGCGGAAUGCGUGGUGUAGCGGUGAAAUGCAUAGAUAUCACGCAGAACCCCGAUUGCGAAGGCAGCAUACCGGCGCCCUACUGACGCUGAGGCACGAAAGUGCGGGGAUCAAACAGGAUUAGAUACCCUGGUAGUCCGCACAGUAAACGAUGAAUGCUAGCUGUCCGGGGGGAUUGACCCCUGGGUGGCACAGCGAAAGCGUUAAGCAUUCCACCUGG
rnacentral:rRNA from 1 species